AUUGAACGCUGGCGGCAUGCCUUACACAUGCAAGUCGAACGGCAGCACGGGUGCUUGCCCCUGGUGGCGAGUGGCGAACGGGUGAGUAAUACAUCGGAACAUGUCCUGUAGUGGGGGAUAGCCCGGCGAAAGCCGGAUUAAUACCGCAUACGAUCUACGGAUGAAAGCGGGGGACCUUCGGGCCUCGCGCUAUAGGGUUGGCCGAUGGCUGAUUAGCUAGUUGGUGGGGUAAAGGCCUACCAAGGCGACGAUCAGUAGCUGGUCUGAGAGGACGACCAGCCACACUGGGACUGAGACACGGCCCAGACUCCUACGGGAGGCAGCAGUGGGGAAUUUUGGACAAUGGGCGAAAGCCUGAUCCAGCAAUGCCGCGUGUGUGAAGAAGGCCUUCGGGUUGUAAAGCACUUUUGUCCGGAAAGAAAUCCUUGGCCCUAAUACGGUCGGGGGAUGACGGUACUGGAAGAAUAAGCACCGGCUAACUACGUG
rnacentral:rRNA from 1 species